rnacentral:rRNA from 1 species
UACGAAGGGGGCUAGCGUUGCUCGGAAUCACUGGGCGUAAAGCGCACGUAGGCGGCUUCUUAAGUCAGGGGUGAAAUCCUGGAGCUCAACUCCAGAACUGCCUUUGAUACUGAGGAGCUUGAGUCCGGGAGAGGUGAGUGGAACUGCGAGCGUAGAGGUGAAAUUCGUAGAUAUUCGCAAGAACACCAGUGGCGAAGGCGGCUCACUGGCCCGGUACUGACGCUGAGGUGCGAAAGCGUGGGGAGCAAACAGG